GAGAAGUUGUUUGUUUGCUACAACACACUAACAGGUUCCAUCCCAAACAACAUAGGCAAUUUGACCAAACUCACAGCCUUGUAUCUUUGCAGCAACCAACUUUCUGGACACAUCCCUCAAGAACUAGGUUACCUUGAGAACGUGGACUUGGACCUUAGCAACAACACACUAACAGGUUCCAUCCCAAAACACCUAGGAAAUAUCACAAACAUCUCUCAAUUGUUCCUUGACAAUAACCAACUUUUUGGCGACAUUCCUCGAGAAUUAGGUUAUUUGGUCAACUUAGAGAUCUUGUUCCUUGACAAUAACCAAAUU
rnacentral:rRNA from 1 species